CAUUAAUUGCCAAAAAAGUGGUCUUCCAACUUGGAUGAAAAUGGCACAUUCAUGUCAAAUGGUAGUAAAAAUUUGUUUUCAUCCCUUUAAUCAAGCAUAUACAAUCUCCCAAACCGUGUCUCAGAUUUUUGAUAUAUGCCUCCAGUAAGAAGAUAUAUUGAUUUAACUGCUGGAUGCCAAACCUCAUUUCACCUUUCAUCUUUGGAGACCUAUAAAUUCAUUUAGAAACAAAUUAUCCAAAAACUGGGACACGGUAUUGUAGAAAAUACACCUUUUAAUCAUAUAUAUCAAAGUCAAGCCAAAGGGGGUACCCAUAAAGUUUCUAUUUUCAUUUUUUCCUUACAAUUAUCAUGAAAAAUUGUUCUGAGAAAUGACCUAAAAACUGAAUUUCCCCCUUAGAACCCCUAUAAUGUCAAUGUAAAUACAAACGUUCCACUGGGAACACCCCAGGAGUGUUCUGGUACCAUUACUAUAUCAAUAGAACCACACACUUUGUGUCUUUGAUGCUCUAAUGCAGUAAAUUUUGCAUUAUAUGUGAACUGUCCAACACUAACUUGGCAUUUGGCCGGAGUUUGACGUCACAGAUAUGACCAACAUCUGUGAUGAAGUAAUUAAAUAUAGACAAAGCUCCGCCUCUUUCCAGACAGUCUCAGAUAAGAGAAAAACAUGAUUGACCAGCU
rnacentral:lncRNA from 1 species